AUUGAACGCUGGCGGAAUGCUUUACACAUGCAAGUCGAACGGCAGCACGGACUUCGGUCUGGUGGCGAGUGGCGAACGGGUGAGUAAUACAUCGGAACGUGCCCAGUCGUGGGGGAUAACGUAGCGAAAGCUACGCUAAUACCGCAUACGAUCUAAGGAUGAAAGCGGGGGAUCGCAAGACCUCGCGCGAUUGGAGCGGCCGAUGGCAGAUUAGGUAGUUGGGGGGGUAAAGGCUCACCAAGCCGACGAUCUGUAGCUGGUCUGAGGGGACGACAGACCACACUGGGACUGAGACACGGCCCAGACUCCUACGGGAGUCAGCAGUGGUGAAGUUUGGACAAUGGGCGCAAGCCUGAUCCAGCCAUUCCGCGUGCAGGAUGAAGGCCCUCGGGUUGUAAACUGCUUUUGUACGGAACGAAAAGGCUCUGGUUAAUACCUGGGGCUCAUGACGGUACCGUAAGAAUAAGCACCGGCUAACUACGUGCCAGCCGCCGCCGUAA
rnacentral:rRNA from 1 species